rnacentral:rRNA from 1 species
UACGUAGGGUGCAAGCGUUGUCCGGAAUUAUUGGGCGUAAAGAGCUCGUAGGCGGUCUGUCGCGUCUGCUGUGAAAACCUAGGGCUUAACUCUGGGCGUGCAGUGGGUACGGGCAGGCUAGAGUGCGGUAGGGGAGACUGGAAUUCCUGGUGUAGCGGUGAAAUGCGCAGAUAUCAGGAGGAACACCGGUGGCGAAGGCAGGUCUCUGGGCAUUAACUGACGCUGAGGAGCGAAAGCAUGGGGAGCGAACAGG